AAUGGGGAAACCCAGCAUGAGUUAUGUCAUGUUAUCGAUAUGUGAAUACAUAGCAUAUCAGAAGGCACACCCGGAGAACUGAAACAUCUUAGUACCCGGAGGAAGAGAAAGAAAAUUCGAUUCCCUUAGUAGCGGCGAGCGAAACGGGAAGAGCCCAAACCAACAAGCUUGCUUGUUGGGGUUGUAGGACACUCUAUACGGAGUUACAAAGGACGACAUUAGACGAAUCAUCUGGAAAGAUGAAUCAAAGAAGGUAAUAAUCCUGUAGUCGAAAAUGUUGUCUCUCUUGAGUGGAUCCUGAGUACGACGGAGCACGUGAAAUUCCGUCGGAAUCUGGGAGGACCAUCUCCUAAGGCUAAAUACUCUCUAGUGACCGAUAGUGAACCAGUACCGUGAGGGAAAGGUGAAAAGCACCCCGGAAGGGGAGUGAAAUAGAACCUGAAACCGUGUGCUUACAAGUAGUCAGAGCCCGUUAAUGGGUGAUGGCGUGCCUUUUGUAGAAUGAACCGGCGAGUUACGAUUUGAUGCAAGGUUAAGCAGUAAAUGUGGAGCCGUAGCGAAAGCGAGUCUGAAUAGGGCGUUUAGUAUUUGGUCGUAGACCCGAAACCAGGUGAUCUACCCUUGGUCAGGUUGAAGUUCAGGUAACACUGAAUGGAGGACCGAACCGACUUACGUUGAAAAGUGAGCGGAUGAACUGAGGGUAGCGGAGAAAUUCCAAUCGAACCUGGAGAUAGCUGGUUCUCUCCGAAAUAGCUUUAGGGCUAGCCUCAAGUGAUGAUUAUUGGAGGUAGAGCACUGUUUGGACGAGGGGCCCCUCUCGGGUUACCGAAUUCAGACAAACUCCGAAUGCCAAUUAAUUUAACUUGGGAGUCAGAACAUGGGUGAUAAGGUCCGUGUUCGAAAGGGAAACAGCCCAGACCACCAGCUAAGGUCCCAAAAUAUAUGUUAAGUGGAAAAGGAUGUGGCGUUGCCCAGACAACUAGGAUGUUGGCUUAGAAGCAGCCAUCAUUUAAAGAGUGCGUAAUAGCUCACUAGUCGAGUGACACUGCGCCGAAAAUGUACCGGGGCUAAACAUAUUACCGAAGCUGUGGAUUGUCCUUUGGACAAUGGUAGGAGAGCGUUCUAAGGGCGUUGAAGCAUGAUCGUAAGGACAUGUGGAGCGCUUAGAAGUGAGAAUGCCGGUGUGAGUAGCGAAAGACGGGUGAGAAUCCCGUCCACC
rnacentral:rRNA from 1 species